UACAGAGGGUGCAAGCGUUAAUCGGAAUUAUUGGGCGUAAAGGGCAUGUAGGUGGCACCUUAAGUCUGAUGUGAAAGCCCUGGGCUUAACCUGGGAAUUGCGUUGGAAACUGAGGAGCUAGAGUCGGUCAGAGGGCCGUGGAAUUUCCGGUGUAGCAGUGAAAUGCGUAGAGAUCGGAAAGAACACCAGUGGCGAAGGCGGCGGCCUGGGACCAGACUGACACUGAGGUGCGAAAGCAUGGGGAGCAAAC
rnacentral:rRNA from 1 species